UUCGUAGUGGCAACAAUAAUAUUGUAUUCGACGUUUGUUUUGACAGCGCGUUAGCGCGCUACUGACACGUCAUUGUAGUAUUCUUGUCAUUCGCGCGACGAAGCUCGAACGGAAAGGUCGGAGUAAGAGCGGCUCCGCAUUCUCGUAAUAUUUAUUUUAUAUAAUUAGCGCGAGGAAUACGAGGAUUAUUUCACGAUUAUAUCAGGAUUAUAUCACGAUUAUCGAUCAACGACGUUUAUUUAUUGGUGCAUAUUUUUAGUGUGACUUUAUUUGAAAUAAACGAUAAAAGAAAAACUCUCGAACGUGACGGUCGUGCGUUGUUCUUUGACUUUUGGCGUGUGUUGGAUUGCUUUGCUAUGGGUAGCAUUUCCACGCACUACUUCCGUCUUUCAACGACUGGAAUCGAUGAGAGGCUUGUCUUGCGACGCACGCCAUUAUGUUUGAUUUUGCUAUGACUGUAUGAGUUUUAUAAUUUCUAAUUUUUCCUAUUUACUGAAGAUGAUCCCAAGAAAGAAUCGAAACGUUUAAUUAAAUUUCUUGUCUUAGUUUAUUUUUGAUUUAUACCUUUUUAUUGUUUUUACUUACGCUUUUACCACCUGCGUUGCGGCUCUUAUUGGCUUAUUAUUGGAUUUUUAUUGUGUUUAUUUUAUCAGAGCCUUAUAUAUUUUACUUCUUAGUUAUUAUAAUAUAAGAAUUGUCAGAUUUUCGAAAAAACCGUGAUAUGUCAAUUGUUUAUUAAUUUGUUCUUUGCAAAAAUUAUUAUAGGAAUAGUCGAUAAGUUGAACCUAUUUUCUAUUAUUGUA